rnacentral:rRNA from 1 species
AUUGAACGCUGGCGGCAGGCCUAACACAUGCAAGUCGAGCGGAUGAAGGGAGCUUGCUCCUGGAUUCAGCGGCGGACGGGUGAGUAAUGCCUAGGAAUCUGCCUGGUAGUGGGGGAUAACGUCCGGAAACGGGCGCUAAUACCGCAUACGUCCUGAGGGAGAAAGUGGGGGAUCUUCGGACCUCACGCUAUCAGAUGAGCCUAGGUCGGAUUAGCUAGUUGGUGGGGUAAAGGCCUACCAAGGCGACGAUCCGUAACUGGUCUGAGGGGAUGAUCAGUCACACUGGAACUGAGACACGGUCCAGACUCCUACGGGAGGCAGCAGUGGGGAAUAUUGGACAAUGGGCGAAAGCCUGAUCCAGCCAUGCCGCGUGUGUGAAGAAGGUCUUCGGAUUGUAAAGCACUUUAAGUUGGGAGGAAGGGCAGUAAGUUAACACCUUGCUGUUUUGACGUUACCAACAGAAUAAGCACCGGCUAACUUCGUG